CAGGCCGCUGAGAAGCGGAACGUGCGCACUCAACUGCUGCGCCACCAGGCCAGCCCCUGGUGGCCAGUUUUUAAUUGUUAAAGUAUUUCAGAUGUAGGAAUUCUUUUAACUCACUGUCUCUUUCUCUCUGUUUUCAUUUAGAUAUUCAACCUGAAUUUUUCCAAUGAAAUAAUUUAUUCAGUCUCUCUGUCUUUCAAUCUUUUCAUAGAUAGAAGACUUGUAAGUAUUGGAUUGGCCGUAGAAUAUUGGGUUAUAUGAAUCACAUUCAGUAAUGAAUGAAAGGGAGACUAUGAGUGGUGGCCCUAUCUUGCAGGGCUCUCUAAAUUCUUAUAGUGGUAUCAAAGUUCUGCUAAAUAUAAUCCUGGAAUUAAGACAAACUCUAGAUAAGGAUGUUCAAACAGUAUAUUUUAAAGCCAGCAUCUUAGACCUGGUUAUGCCCCUGGUGUGUUCUCCCUGUGGGAGCAGCUAGUCUGGGGUAAAAACCUGAAGGCCUCCUGAGGAGUUUAAAGAUAUAGGAUUCUCUAAAGAUAUGAUAUUGGUGUAGAUAUCUGGACUAGAUUAAUUCAUUCAAUCAUUCACUCAUCACAUAUUUAUUUGGCACUUGCUGUGGGCCAGGUUCUGUGCUGGAGAUGCAACAGUAUGGUAAGAGCUCAGAGACACACAGGCUUACAGCCCAGGAGGCAACAGAACAUCAUUUGAAGAACUGAAGAACCGACAACAAUGUGGGGACUUUCAAAGGAGAAGCACAGCUGCCCUAGAAGGGGUCUUGAGAGGCAGAACUGACCAAGGCUGGGGGUCAAGGCAGGCUUCCUGGAGGAAAUCAGACCAGCUGAAUGGGACAUAGUAGGGGGUGGUGUGUUCCAGGCAUGGAGAUGGGACAGAGAAGAGAAGAUGAGGGCUGAGGUGCCUGCAGGGGAGUCACGCUAAGGGGUUUGCACUUUUAUACUGACGGUGUUGGGAAGGGGUGGAAGAGAUUAAGCUUGUCACAUGUGGCCUGGAUCUCACUCACACUGAUGGAUUGCCCUCUCCUGUUUUGCUGGGGACAAGAGCCAGUCACUGUGAUGUGGGGGGCGGGCAAGGGGGACGCUGUACCAUCAGGACAGAGGAGGAUUCAACAGCCAGGUGGCCCUAAGUCAAGAGAAAUCCCCUCUCCUUCACAGUUUUGCACGGGGGCUCUGUGUUUCUUAAACUGUCGCCAGUAAACAAAAGCUGUGCAUGGGUGUGUUUGCAGUUUCUCAUGACUGCACUCACACAGCAUCGGAAACACUGGCUUGACUCUAUAGCCUUAGUUUCAAAUGCCCCCUAAAAGGCUCUACAAAAUGGUGUCAGCAAACUAUGUGAAAGUCAUCAAGAACAAACAAACUAAAUUUCAUGCCUCUUGGUUUAAGGCUACCUGUUUAAGAAGGCAGCAGAUCUGAUUCAGCUGUGUACCAUUCUGUGGGUUCUCUACAACCCUCAAACAUCCACGUACAGGGUCGCAGUCUCUCUGCUGGUGCAGAGCACUUGGCAAAAGAUAGCUUCCACUGAGUGCUCCAUGCUCUCCCACAAGCCCUCCUGGAACCAGAGAACUUGGCAAGAUUAAGGAUGUUGUUAAAAAAGGAUGUUCUGAGCCAAACUUGUCCAGUGAGAUAGUGGCCGGAAGGAAACUAGUAAACUAAACUUGGCACAUUGAUGCCUCUCAUUGGCACACCUGCAGCCACCAUGUUGUGAUGAUCCUCAAACAGCCCUGUGGAGAGGCCAAUGCAUGAAGAGGCCAUGUGGAAAGGAACAAACUUGCCAGCCGGAUGAGUGAGCCACCUUGAAAGCAGAUUCUCCUGCCUCAGUCAAAACUUCAGAUGAUUCCUGGCCCCAAUCUCAAAGUCUUUCAGCUGAGACCUCAGAUAACGUGAAGAAACGAACCAUCUCUGCUGUGCCCUAUUUGAAUAUCUGACCCACAGAAACCAUGAAAUAAUAAAUUGUUCUUUCAAACGA